GUGCUUGCACAAAAUGAUUAGUGGCGAACGGGUGAGUAACACGUGAGUAACCUGCCCUUAACUUCGGGAUAAGCCUGGGAAACCGGGUCUAAUACCGGAUACGACGGACCACCGCAUGGCGGUCCGUGGAAAGCUUGAUGCGGUUUUGGAUGGACUCGCGGCCUAUCAGCUAGUUGGUUGGGGUAAUGGCCCACCAAGGCGACGACGGGUAGCCGGCCUGAGAGGGUGACCGGCCACACUGGGACUGAGACACGGCCCAGACUCCUACGGGAGGCAGCAGUGGGGAAUAUUGCACAAUGGGCGAAAGCCUGAUGCAGCGACGCCGCGUGAGGGACGAAGGCCUUCGGGUUGUAAACCUCUUUCAGCAGGGAAGAAGCGAAAGUGACGGUACCUGCAGAAGAAGCGCCGGCUAACUACGUGCCAGCAGCCGCGGUAAUACGUAGGGCGCAAGCGUUAUCCGGAAUUAUUGGGCGUAAAGAGCUCGUAGGCGGUUUGUCGCGUCUGCUGUGAAAGCCCGGGGCUCAACCCCGGGUCUGCAGUGGGUACGGGCAGACUAGAGUGCAGUAGGGGAGACUGGAAUUCCUGGUGUAGCGGUGAAAUGCGCAGAUAUCAGGAGGAACACCGAUGGCGAAGGCAGGUCUCUGGGCUGUAACUGACGCUGAGGAGCGAAAGCAUGGGGAGCGAACAGGAUUAGAUACCCUGGUAGUCCAUGCCGUAAACGUUGGGCACUAGGUGUGGGGGACAUUCCACGUUUUCCGCGCCGUAGCUAACGCAUUAAGUGCCCCGCCUGGGGAGUACGGCCGCAAGGCUAAAACUCAAAGGAAUUGACGGGGGCCCGCACAAGCGGCGGAGCAUGCGGAUUAAUUCGAUGCAACGCGAAGAACCUUACCAAGGCUUGACAUGAACCGGAAAGGCCUGGAAACAGGUCCCCCACUUGUGGCCGGUUUACAGGUGGUGCAUGGUU
rnacentral:rRNA from 1 species